AUUGAACGCUGGCGGCAGGCCUAACACAUGCAAGUCGAGCGGAUGAAGGGAGCUUGCUCCUGGAUUCAGCGGCGGACGGGUGAGUAAUGCCUAGGAAUCUGCCUGGUAGUGGGGGAUAACGUCCGGAAACGGGCGCUAAUACCGCAUACGUCCUGAGGGAGAAAGUGGGGGAUCUUCGGACCUCACGCUAUCAGAUGAGCCUAGGUCGGAUUAGCUAGUUGGUGGGGUAAAGGCCUACCAAGGCGACGAUCCGUAACUGGUCUGAGAGGAUGAUCAGUCACACUGGAACUGAGACACGGUCCAGACUCCUACGGGGGGCAGCAGUAGGGAAUAUUGGACAAUGGGCGAAAGCCUGAUCCAGCCAUGCCGCGUGUGUGAAGAAGGUCUUCGGAUUGUAAAGCACUUUAAGUUGGGAGGAAGGGCAGUAAGUUAAUACCUUGCUGUUUUGACGUUACCAACAGAAUAAGCACCGGCUAACUUCGUG
rnacentral:rRNA from 1 species